GAAUGUGUGAGUGACCUGGUUAUCAUAUCUGUUACCUUAUUGAUUAUCAGAGUUGAUUUGGCUGAUCUAGCUGGCUAGGUGGGUGAGCCUUUCCACACUCAACACUCCAGUAUGCAUCUCUCCAGAAGCUGAAGGUGGUGAUGGGAAGGCCUGGGAGGAGAGGAGGGAG
rnacentral:snRNA from 1 species